rnacentral:rRNA from 1 species
UACGUAGGGUGCAAGCGUUGUCCGGAAUUAUUGGGCGUAAAGAGCGUGUAGGCGGCCAGGUAGGUCGGUUGUGAAAACUGGAGGCUUAACCUCCAGACGUCGACCGAAACCCCCUGGCUAGAGUCCGGAAGAGGAGAGUGGAAUUCCUGGUGUAGCGGUGAAAUGCGUAGAUAUCGGAAGGAACACCAGUGGCGAAAGCGGCUUCCUGGUCCAGCACCGACGUUCAGGCACGAAAGCGUGGGGAGCAAACAGG